CAUCACGUGAAAAAACACCAAAUAUGACCUGGCGUAUCACGGAAACCUCCUCUCUCCUCUCUACUCUUCCUCCUCUUCUCCCUUUUCCUUCGGUUUCUUUUAUGGCAGUUUCUAGGAUCAGGGUUUCAGCUCCGUCAUGGGAAAUUCUGGUCCCAGAAUACGAGCGGGCUCUAGUCGAAUUAAUUACGCCUGCGAAAAAUCAAAGCCUUCCACCUCUCUCUCUUAACGCCUACCAAACGUUAUUAUCCUCAAGGGAAGUUCUAGUUAAUUGGGUGGUGUGAAUUAACUAAUAAUUUGGAAGAUUUGCCUGCAUUUCUUGCUUCUUGUAUCUGUCAGAUGACCUUCUUGAUUGGAGAAUAAACUACAACAAAUAUACAAGUUUCAAGAGGAAAAUAGAUGAUCAUGUGCAUGAUCUCAAAGUAUUUGCAAUGGCCAAUUACCUCUAGAUAAUUGAGUUUAAAUUGUUUGUUUUUUUGAUAGAAGAGAUAAUGCAGGAUAACACUACCCAAGAAAGCAUAUCCAACACUGAUACGCUCUGCGAUUGGAAAAUCAGGUUUGAAAAUCUUCUCCUACCAGAACUUUUAAGCUAAUCAAUGAAUUUGAUCAUAAAUAAAAUAAUCCAGCACCAACAAUAGAAAUGACGUUGUCAGUACAUUUUUUCAACACCAAGUGGCUUGUCUUUUUACCACUAGGACUCCACAUUUUUGAGUUAUUAUGUAAUUAGGAAUAAGAAGUUUCUUCUCUGAGAUGCUGGCACUUAUCUUUCAUUUUCUAUCAAAACAUUGUGGAAUAUUCUUUGGGGUGAUAAAAUGCCUGCUGUUUUCAAGCUAAUGUAGAGUUCUAUUAGAUAUACAUCAUAUGAUACCUGGGGAUUUGACUAGGUUCUCAUUGAGGUCUCUAACUUAACAUGAGACAAUUAUUAAACACUAGCGUGAAUACACUUUUCAUGGAGUUGGGAUAUUUUGAGAGUAUAAUUGGUAGAACUCUGCUCUUGAAAUUUACCAUGGUAUUCCACUGAUCUUCUGGUAUGAUUAUGGAGCUUGACGCCUCUUUAUUUUUUGGAUUAAUCUUCAUUCUUCCGUGUGUUAUUAUAUCCUUUCUGGCAUAUCUAGAUGCAGUAGUGAUUUGUGGUUCAAAGCCAAUGAAACUCCCUUAGCAGAUGGCUUGAUACAUGCUUGUGUUAUUUUUCUGAUGGUUUUAUAGACAAUCAAAUUCUCAGAGUAGUUUGUUUAGAGGCUUGGAUCUAUUCAUGGAAAGGGGAACUACUGUUUGGAAAAAGUGUCUAUGAUCUUCCUAUUUAUGAUCUCAUCAAUUUGAUUUUUUGAGUUUUAAAAAUGUAUUUCUUAGUCAUUUGGAAUUGCCGCAUGUUAUUAUAAUAAAAGUUGAUGAUUCUAGUA